GUGUCAGCAGCCGCGGUAAUACGAACCGUCCAAACGUUAUUCGGAUUCACUGGGCUUAAAGGGUGCGUAGGCGGCUCAGUAAGUAGGGUGUGAAAGCCCUCGGCUCAACCGAGGAAUUGCGCCCUAAACUACUGGGCUUGAGGAACGCAGAGGUAAGCGGAACUUAGGGUGGAGCGGUGAAAUGCGUUGAUAUCCUAAGGAACACCAGGAGCGAAAGCGGCUUACUGGGCGUUUUCUGACGCUGAUGCACGAAAGCUAGGGGAGCGAACGGGAUUAGAUACCCCAGUAGUCC
rnacentral:rRNA from 1 species